GUAUUGAUUGGUGCUUGCAUCAUGAUUUACAUUUGAGUGAGUGGCGAACUGGUGAGUAACACGUGGGAAACCUGCCCAGAAGCGGGGGAUAACACCUGGAAACAGAUGCUAAUACCGCAUAACAACUUGGACCGCAUGGUCCGAGUUUGAAAGAUGGCUUCGGCUAUCACUUUUGGAUGGUCCCGCGGCGUAUUAGCUAGAUGGUGGGGUAACGGCUCACCAUGGCAAUGAUACGUAGCCGACCUGAGAGGGUAAUCGGCCACAUUGGGACUGAGACACGGCCCAAACUCCUACGGGAGGCAGCAGUAGGGAAUCUUCCACAAUGGACGAAAGUCUGAUGGAGCAACGCCGCGUGAGUGAAGAAGGGUUUCGGCUCGUAAAACUCUGUUGUUAAAGAAGAACAUAUCUGAGAGUAACUGUUCAGGUAUUGACGGUAUUUAACCAGAAAGCCACGGCUAACUACGUGCCAGCAGCCGCGGUAAUACGUAGGUGGCAAGCGUUGUCCGGAUUUAUUGGGCGUAAAGCGAGCGCAGGCGGUUUUUUAAGUCUGAUGUGAAAGCCUUCGGCUCAACCGAAGAAGUGCAUCGGAAACUGGGAAACUUGAGUGCAGAAGAGGACAGUGGAACUCCAUGUGUAGCGGUGAAAUGCGUAGAUAUAUGGAAGAACACCAGUGGCGAAGGCGGCUGUCUGGUCUGUAACUGACGCUGAGGCUCGAAAGUAUGGGUAGCAAACAGGAUUAGAUACCCUGGUAGUCCAUACCGUAAACGAUGAAUGCUAAGUGUUGGAGGGUUUCCGCCCUUCAGUGCUGCAGCUAACGCAUUAAGCAUUCCGCC
rnacentral:rRNA from 2 species